rnacentral:rRNA from 1 species
AACGAACGCUGGCGGCGUGCCUAACACAUGCAAGUCGAGCGGGAAAGUCCGCAAGGAUGAGUACAGCGGCGCACGGGUGCGUAACACGUGGGUAAUCUGCCCUGGAGCUCGGAAUAACUCGCCGAAAGGCGUGCUAAUACCGGAUAAGACCACGGGAGCCUCGGCUCCUGCGGGAAAAGGUGGCCUCUGCAUGCAAGCUACCACUUCAGGAUGAGCCCGCGGCCCAUCAGCUUGUUGGCGGGGUAACGGCCCACCAAGGCUACGACGGGUAGCUGGUCUGAGAGGACGAUCAGCCACACUGGAACUGAGACACGGUCCAGACUCCUACGGGUGGCAG